GGGGCCAGGCGCCCCUUCCCACGAGUCGUGCGGUCCCGGGACGCGCCGCCUGGCCGGAGGCGCCGGGGCCACCGGUGUCUGCGCGCAAACCCGAAGCCCUCCCGGUUGCACACCGAGACGCGUGAGGACUGCCGCAGCCCCCGCGCUCAGAAAGAAGAGAAGACUUGGGGUUCAGAGCCGCCCCCCCUCUCCUGCAGUGGAAAUGGACUUCCCUCGGGUCCAGUACAGGACUUCCCACACAGGCCGGUGGGUGAGCGCCCUUGGCGUUGCCCUCAUUGAUCCGGCUGGACACCAGAAACAGAUCAUCUGGUGAGCAGCUGAGGCACAGACUAUCUGGGCUCCCACUAAGAGGCUGAUAUAGGACUGAAGAAGCAGCUGCUCUGUCAAACCUAGAGAUCUUGAACCUGAGGGCUGUGCACAUAUUCUUUGUAUCUUCCCUGCAGCUUGGCACCAGAUGGGUCUGCCAUCCUGACAGCAUUGGUCUUUUUUAUGACUGAGUCAUCUUUGCUUGCUGGGAAAAAGAAUCCUUACGAAGAGAAGUUGCUCCCUGGGGGAAGAAGAA